rnacentral:tRNA from 1 species
GCCACUAUAGUUUAUUUAAAACAGAGGGUCUUCAAUCCUCAAAUUCAAGCUAUAAUUUGAUAGUAGCU